AAGGUCUUCACCCCAGACGGGUCCCGCGCUGAGGCCCAGGCUCUGAACCACCGAGUCUUCUUUAGUGUUUCUCCGCUGGCCCUGGCUCACGUUUGCCCACUGGCCUGUUGUGAAUGCCCUUGCACAGAGUAGGUGCUUCUGGAAGCAUCUGAUGGAGGGUGACUGCGGAGCCAGGGGCCGUGGCAGCAGGGGGAUGGUCCAGCACAUCCGGCGGGCCUGAGAAGGGUCAGAGCAGAGAGGCGGUGGAGUCGUCUCCCUCUAGAGCUUUCCUUCGCUGGCUCUGCAGGAGGCUCUGGAAUGCUGCUCCGGGAGCCCGCUGGGCACGGGGACACAGGCCAGGCCUGCACUGCUGCUCCCUGCCCCGAGCUGCCCGCCCAGCCCGCAUUUUGCCAACUUUUGUGAGCCUGAGCAGUUGGUUCUGGUUCAAGGGCUCUGAGCUGGCACAGCCCCAAACCAGGGCCUCUUCCUGGGCCUCAAUGAAGCAUGCCCAUGAGUCAGCACUGAGACGCAAACUGAACAACAGGCAGGGCGAGUGGAACGUGGGAUGGGGAGCAAAGGCUGGAAGGAGUGGGGCUGGGCCCACACCUGGAAGAACCCACAUCCUUGCAGCCUCCAGUGGCAGCAACAUCUUGGCCCCUGCAGAUCUUUUCAGAGGUCCGGCACAAUGACUCCACAGAGGGCUGACUGGUUCCAUGAUGCUUAAGAGGUUAGGAAGCUUGUAGGAGGCACGCCUGACUUGCCACUCCCUCCACCCAGGCCUGACUAUCUGAGGACCAAUUCACACACCUGGAGCCCCGAGUAGCAGCCUGAAGGAAUGCUAAGGAGGUAGGUGAGGGAGUGGGGGGCAGGCCCUUGCCCCCAUUUCUUGAUUGUAUAACACUUCAUUAAAAUAAAAUCACGCAGUGCCAUCUUUUAUUAGACAUUUUAAUACCAUAUCAAAACACCUUGACUAAUGAAGAAAGCUUUUCUCCCAAGCUUUGAA
rnacentral:lncRNA from 1 species